rnacentral:rRNA from 1 species
GAUGAACGCUGGCGGCGUGCCUAAUACAUGCAAGUCGAGCGAACGGACGAGAAGCUUGCUUCUCUGAUGUUAACGGCGGACGGGUGAGUAACACGUGGAUAACCUACCUAUAAGACUGGGAUAACUUCGGGAAACCGGAGCUAAUACCGGAUAAUAUUUUGAACCGCAUGGUUCAAAAGUAAAAGACGGUCUUGCUGUCACUUAUAGAUGGAUCCGCGCUGCAUUAGCUAGUUGGUAAGGUAACGGCUUACCAAGGCAACGAUGCAUAGCCGACCUGAGAGGGUGAUCGGCCACACUGGAACGGAGACACGGUCCAGACUCCUACGGGAGGCAGCAGUAGGGAAUCUUCCGCAAUGGGCGAAAGCCUGACGGAGCAACGCCGCGUGAGUGAUGAAGGUCUUCGGAUCGUAAAACUCUGUUAUUAGGGAAGAACAUAUGUGUAAGUAACUGUGCACAUCUUGACGGUACCUAAUCAGAAAGCCACGGCUAACUACGUG